AAGACCUUGCGCUUUUGGAGCGGCCGAUGUCUGAUUAGCUAGUUGGUGGGGUAAUGGCCUACCAAAGCUUCGAUCAGUAGCUGGUCUGAGAGGACGGCCAGCCACACUGGGACUGAGACACGGCCCAGACUCCUACGGGAGGCAGCAGUGGGGAAUUUUGGACAAUGGGCGCAAGCCUGAUCCAGCCAUGCCGCGUGAGUGAAGAAGGCCUUCGGGCUGUAAAGCUCUUUCAGCCGGGAAGAAAAGGCUGCGACUAAUAAUCGCAGUUCAUGACGGUACCGGAAGAAGAAGCACCGGCUAACUACGUGCCAGCAGCCGCGGUAAUACGUAGGGUGCGAGCGUUAAUCGGAAUUACUGGGCGUAAAGGGUGCGCAGGCGGUUUUGUAAGUCAGAUGUGAAAUCCCCGGGCUUAACCUGGGAACU
rnacentral:rRNA from 1 species